AGUUUACUAAAUGGAUUAGUGGCGCACGGGUGAGUAAUAUAUAGAUAACGUGCCUCUUAGUCUGGGAUAGCCAUUGGAAACGAUGAUUAAUACUAGAUACUCCUUCUAACUCUAAUGUUAGUUGGGAAAGUUUUUCGCUAAGAGAUCGGUCUAUAUCCCAUCAGGUAGUUGGUAGUGUAAGAGACUACCAAGCCUAUGACGGGUAGCGGGUUUGAGAGGAUGAUCCGCCACACUGGUACUGAGACACGGACCAGACUCCUACGGGAGGCAGCAGUGAGGAAUAUUGCACAAUGGAGGAAACUCUGAUGCAGCAACGCCGCGUGGAGGAUGACGCAUUUCGGUGUGUAAACUCCUUUUAUAUGUCAAGAAAAUGACGGUAGCAUAUGAAUAAGCACCGGCUAACUCCGUGCCAGCAGCCGCGGUAAUACGGAGGGUGCAAGCGUUAUUCGGAAUCACUGG
rnacentral:rRNA from 1 species